rnacentral:lncRNA from 1 species
GGAAGUGAUAGAGUAUAUCAGUCAAAGAAAGAACCAAAAGGCAGAGGGAAAGAGUGUGAGAGAACUACUAUGCUCUGUCCCACUCCCUGAAUGUCUUCCCCUUCUCUACAGCCCAGAGAGAGAGAGAGAGAGCAAGAGCAAGAGAGACUACCUUUCCUUACUCUGGACUCUACUGCUCCACCAUGGCACCUGUCACAGACAGAGAGACACGGACCUAGGAGCGCUACAGUACCAGGAACACACAGAGUACAAAGAGCUGAAGUAAAGGGAGCGUUCGCCCGCCUCGGGGGCUUAGAGAGGGGAUUUGGCUGUUCUGCCGGGUGCCUGCCUGAUAACGAGACAGCCAGGCCUGCUGAUACGCUGCUGAGUGCGUGCAGUAAAGCACCCCUUACCUGUCACUCCUCACCUGUCACACUCUGGUGCCACCGGCCAAGAUGGCACACACACACACACAGGGCCAACCAUAGAGCUGCAGGAGUGUUUGUGUGUGCAACUGCAGCAUUUUUACAGUUUGGUGUGUGACAACUCACAGUAAACCUCUCAGUCAACGUAGAGAGGAAAUGAAUCCAGGCUCUUGCGGCCUGGUAUUUCAGUGAGCAUCACACUAUGCAGUUAAAUAUUUUCCACUCACUAUACUCACACCUCUCUGUCAGGCUAGUUUAGGAUAAGAAAAGCCCAUUCACCCUCAUUCAGACCACAGGAUGGAUAUAUUGUAUAAAGCAUGUUAUUCCCCCCAGUCCUCUCCCAUCUCCUUCUCUUCCUGUUGUGGCAGUGCCAGUUAAAGUUACAGCUGUUGGGAUUCAAGAUUCAUAUUCAAGUCAACGCCCUUAGCUGCACCUAGCCAUCAAAACAGAACAAAGUCCAUGAAGAGAGAGGAAUGGAGGGGAGAAGAUAAGGGGAAAGAGAAGGGGAGGGUGAUGUAGGAACAAGAGAGGAGGAUAAAGAUGGAAAGGGAGAGGGAGAGAAGAGCUGAGACUAUGAGAAGAGAACACAGCAGGUUAGCGGAGGGGGAAUAGAAUAAAUGAAAAGGGGAGUAGAGAAGAG